rnacentral:rRNA from 1 species
GAUGAACGCUGGCGGCGUGCCUAAUACAUGCAAGUCGAGCGAACAGACGAGGAGCUUGCUCCUCUGACGUUAGCGGCGGACGGGUGAGUAACACGUGGAUAACCUACCUAUAAGACUGGGAUAACUUCGGGAAACCGGAGCUAAUACCGGAUAAUAUAUUGAACCGCAUGGCUCAAUAGUGAAAGACGGUUUUGCUGUCACUUAUAGAUGGAUCCGCGCCGCAUUAGCUAGUUGGUAAGGUAACGGCUUACCAAGGCAACGAUGCGUAGCCGACCUGAGAGGGUGGUCGGCCACCCUGGAACUGAGACACGGUCCAGACUCCUACGGGAGGCAGCAGUAGGGAAUCUUCCGCAAUGGGCGAAAGCCUGACGGAGCAACGCCGCGUGAGUGAUGAAGGUCUUCGGAUCGUAAAACUCUGUUAUUAGUGAAGAACAAAUGUGUAAGUAACUAUGCACGUCUUGACGGUACCUAAUCAGAAAGCCACGGCUAACUACGUG